rnacentral:rRNA from 1 species
GACAGAGGGGGCAAGCGUUGUUCGGAAUUACUGGGCGUAAAGGGCGCGUAGGCGGUCGUGACAAGUCACUUGUGAAAUCUCCGGGCUUAACUCGGAACGGUCAAGUGAUACUGUCGGACUAGAGUACAGAAGGGGCAACUGGAAUUCUCGGUGUAGCGGUGAAAUGCGUAGAUAUCGAGAGGAACACCUGCGGCGAAGGCGGGUUGCUGGGCUGAUACUGACGCUGAGGCGCGAAAGCCAGGGGAGCGAACGGGAUUAGAACC